UUACACGUAUUCAUAACUGUAUCUGUCUGCAGUUGAAAUGUCUGACCUAUUUUGGGGAUAUGUGCCUAACAUCUAAAGAUAUUAUAGAAAAAAACUAUUUCUUUUUUUUUGAAUAACCGCGGGUCUCCCAAAGGCUUCCUAGGCCCAAGGACUAAUCCCACGAGGCUGGCAAUUCCCCUAUGUAAACCUGCCAGUGGCCGUGUCUCGAACCCUGGUGGCGGAAGUCACAGCUGUGAUCCCUUUACCACUAGGCCACAAGGCC
rnacentral:lncRNA from 1 species